GAUGAACGCUGGCGGCGUGCUUAACACAUGCAAGUCGAGCGAAGCACUUGAACCUGAUUCUUCGGAUGAAAGUUCAUUUGACUGAGCGGCGGACGGGUGAGUAACGCGUGGGUAACCUGCCUCGUACAGGGGGAUAACAGUUAGAAAUGACUGCUAAUACCGCAUAAGACCACGGUACCACAUGGUACAGUGGUAACAACUCCGGUGGUAUGAGAUGGACCCGCGUCUGAUUAGGUAGUUGGUGAGGUAACGGCUCACCAAGCCGACGAUCAGUAGCCGACCUGAGAGGGUGACCGGCACAUUGGGACUGAGACACGGGCCCAGACUCCUACGGGAGGCAGCAGUGGGAAU
rnacentral:rRNA from 1 species